UUUGACCACGUUGUGCAAAAGGCUUUAAAAGAAAUCACCAAGAAAGAGACCAAAUUUUCACCUGUGCUCGAUGCUGACAUGAAACAUCUCAUCAUGAAACUGUUGUUCAAGGAUCCUGAGAUGCAGCUAGGUGGAUGAGGUGAUCUGGACUGUGAACUCAAAUCAGCACAGGCCAGGUACUACUACCACUCCAUGCUCAUGGUGGGAGCUUUAGUAUCUGCACUAAGAGACAAAUUGUGAUGCGAUUGUCCUUUAUAAUCUGUAGAAGCGGGCGGCACGCCAAACCUCUCCACUCCAACGCCAAAAAUUUCAGGAGAAAAACUGCUCCUGAGCUCAAAAAAGC